AUGCCUACGGGACGCAGCAGUCGAGAAUCAUUCACAAUGGGGGAAACCCUGAUGGUGCGACGCCGCGUGGGGGAAUGAAGGUCUUCGGAUUGCAAACCCCUGUCAUGUGGGAGCAAAUUAAAAAGAUAGUACCACAAGAGGAAGAGACGGCUAACCCUGUGCCAGCAGCCGCGGUAAUACAGAGGUCUCAAGCGUCGUUCGGAAUCACUGGGCGUAAAGCGUGCGUAGGCUGUUUCGUAAGUCGUGUGUGAAAGGCGCGGGCUCAACCCGCGGACGGCACAUGAUACUGCGAGACUAGCGACAUG
rnacentral:rRNA from 1 species